UAACACUAACUGGAGGACCGAACCGACUAAUGUUGAAAAAUUAGCGGAUGACUUGUGGCUGGGGGUGAAAGGCCAAUCAAACCGGGAGAUAGCUGGUUCUCCCCGAAAGCUAUUUAGGUAGCGCCUCGUGAAUUCAUCUCCGGGGGUAGAGCACUGUUUCGGCAAGGGGGUCAUCCCGACUUACCAACCCGAUGCAAACUGCGAAUACCGGAGAAUGUUAUCACGGGAGACACACGGCGGGUGCUAACGUCCGUCGUGAAGAGGGAAACAACCCAGACCGCCAGCUAAGGUCCCAAAGUCAUGGUUAAGUGGGAAACGAUGUGGGAAGGCCCAGACAGCCAGGAUGUUGGCUUAGAAGCAGCCAUCAUUUAAAGAAAGCGUAAUAGCUCACUGGUCGAGUCGGCCUGCGCGGAAGAUGUAACGGGGCUAAACCAUGCACCGAAGCUGCGGCAGCGACGCUUAUGCGUUGUUGGGUAGGGGAGCGUUCUGUAAGCCUGCGAAGGUGUGCUGUGAGGCAUGCUGGAGGUAUCAGAAGUGCGAAUGCUGACAUAAGUAACGAUAAAGCGGGUGAAAAGCCCGCUCGCCGGAAGACCAAGGGUUCCUGUCCAACGUUAAUCGGGGCAGGGUGAGUCGACCCCUAAGGCGAGGCCGAAAGGCGUAGUCGAUGGGAAACAGGUUAAUAUUCCUGUACUUGGUGUUACUGCGAAGGGGGGACGGAGAAGGCUAUGUUGGCCGGGCGACGGUUGUCCCGGUUUAAGCGUGUAGGCUGGUUUUCCAGGCAAAUCCGGAAAAUCAAGGCUGAGGCGUGAUGACGAGGCACUACGGUGCUGAAGCAACAAAUGCCCUGCUUCCAGGAAAAGCCUCUAAGCAUCAGGUAACAUCAAAUCGUACCCCAAACCGACACAGGUGGUCAGGUAGAGAAUACCAAGGCGCUUGAGAGAACUCGGGUGAAGGAACUAGGCAAAAUGGUGCCGUAACUUCGGGAGAAGGCACGCUGAUAUGUAGGUGAAGCGACUUGCUCGUGGAGCUGAAAUCAGUCGAAGAUACCAGCUGGCUGCAACUGUUUAUUAAAAACACAGCACUGUGCAAACACGAAAGUGGACGUAUACGGUGUGACGCCUGCCCGGUGCCGGAAGGUUAAUUGAUGGGGUCAGCGCAAGCGAAGCUCUUGAUCGAAGCCCCGGUAAACGGCGGCCGUAACUAUAACGGUCCUAAGGUAGCGAAAUUCCUUGUCGGGUAAGUUCCGACCUGCACGAAUGGCGUAAUGAUGGCCAGGCUGUCUCCACCCGAGACUCAGUGAAAUUGAACUCGCUGUGAAGAUGCAGUGUACCCGCGGCAAGACGGAAAGACCCCGUGAACCUUUACUAUAGCUUGACACUGAACAUUGAGCCUUGAUGUGUAGGAUAGGUGGGAGGCUUUGAAGUGUGGACGCCAGUCUGCAUGGAGCCGACCUUGAAAUACCACCCUUUAAUGUUUGAUGUUCUAACGUGGACCCGUAAUCCGGGUUGCGGACAGUGUCUGGUGGGUAGUUUGACUGGGGCGGUCUCCUCCUAAAGAGUAACGGAGGAGCACGAAGGUUGGCUAAUCCUGGUCGGACAUCAGGAGGUUAGUGCAAUGGCAUAAGCCAGCUUGACUGCGAGCGUGACGGCGCGAGCAGGUGCGAAAGCAGGUCAUAGUGAUCCGGUGGUUCUGAAUGGAAGGGCCAUCGCUCAACGGAUAAAAGGUACUCCGGGGAUAACAGGCUGAUACCGCCCAAGAGUUCAUAUCGACGGCGGUGUUUGGCACCUCGAUGUCGGCUCAUCACAUCCUGGGGCUGAAGUAGGUCCCAAGGGUAUGGCUGUUCGCCAUUUAAAGUGGUACGCGAGCUGGGUUUAGAACGUCGUGAGACAGUUCGGUCCCUAUCUGCCGUGGGCGCUGGAGAACUGAGGGGGGCUGCUCCUAGUACGAGAGGACCGGAGUGGACGCAUCACUGGUGUUCGGGUUGUCAUGCCAAUGGCACUGCCCGGUAGCUAAAUGCGGAAGAGAUAAGUGCUGAAAGCAUCUAAGCACGAAACUUGCCCCGAGAUGAGUUCUCCCUGACUCCUUGAGAGUCCUGAAGGAACGUUGAAGACGACGACGUUGAUAGGCCGGGUGUGUAAGCGCAGCGAUGCGUUGAGCUAACCGGUACUAAUGAACCGUGAGG
rnacentral:rRNA from 1 species